UACGAAGGGUGCAAGCGUUACUCGGAAUUACUGGGCGUAAAGGGUGCGUAGGUGGUUUGUUAAGUCUGCUGUGAAAUCCCCGGGCUCAACCUGGGAAUGGCAGUGGAUACUGGCAAGCUAGAGUGCGGUAGAGGGUAGUGGAAUUCCCGGUGUAGCAGUGAAAUGCGUAGAGAUCGGGAGGAACACCAGUGGCGAAGGCGGCUACCUGGACCAGCACUGACACUGAAGCACGAAAGCUAGGGGAGCAAACAGG
rnacentral:rRNA from 1 species